UACGAAGGGGGCUAGCGUUGUUCGGAAUUACUGGGCGUAAAGCGCGCGUAGGCGGUUUGUAAAGUUGGGAGUGAAAGCCCAGGGCUUAACCCUGGAAAUGCUCUCAAAACUCACAAACUAGAGAGUGGUAGAGGAUGGCGGAAUUCCUAGUGUAGAGGUGAAAUUCGUAGAUAUUAGGAGGAACACCGGUGGCGAAGGCGGCCAUCUGGGCCAAUACUGACGCUGAGGCGCGAAAGCGUGGGGAGCAAACAGG
rnacentral:rRNA from 1 species